AAAUUCCUAUAUAUUUGGUCAUUCUUUUGUCAAGAAUGAAGAAAAUUAUGUCAAAAUAUGGCAAAAAAUAAAAAAUUAACAACAACACAAAAAAGGAUAGCAUUUAGUUUGUGAUUCAAGGCUUUGUUUCAAAGAGAUUAAAAGCAGACUUGAGGCAGAUUCUUUUGGUAGCAAAAUUAAUUUCAUCCGCUACGAAAUUUACCAAGACAUGGCCGAACGAGAACAAACUCGAAUUACUCCAAGUGGGAGUUCUGAAUGUCGAGCAAAGAAAAAAAAGUGGAAGAGCACGUCAUUGAAGGACAUUUUUUCAAGGUCUUGAGCUCAUACGAAAUGAUUUCUCCAGAUCGACACAAAAUCUGUUACGAAAUAAGAGGGCAAUGCGAAGGAAAAGACAGAAGAAGCUAAUAGAGUUUAAGUCUUUUAAGAUGUCCCCUAGUAUUACAAUUGCUAGUUUUAUAAAUUUAUUUGAAUUAAAACGUGUAGAACUAGAAAACUAUGAAGAAAUCUCAGAUUGAGAAGCAUUAGCUAUUUUAGCAAAUUCUCUCCGUGAUCCUUGGGGUAAGAGAUUAAUUAACAUUUACCACGAGAUUUGUCCUAGCGAGCAUAUAUAUACAUAUAUAUAAAGUUGUUUCUCUUCUUGUA